UACGUGUUAUAAUUUUUUUUUUUUGAAAUGGGCCAUUUCAAAUCCUGGACUAGAGCAACUCUAUUAACUUUCUUAUGGUAAAUCGACUUUAGAUUGAGCAGACUUGGGUUUAGGUUAUAAUGAUUUUUUUUUUUUUUUAUUAAGUUGUAAAUGAUACCAAUAUGUGUAAGGUCUUUGUUUUUGUCAUUUUGUGUAUGCACUGGCAAGAUAGAGGGAGAGCAAUAGAUUGAUAACAAUCAGCGACAGAGAGUGCUAGUUUUCCAUGUGUCCUAGCUGGCAUGUACUCUGAAGCUGUUGCCAAAUCAGAGAACGCAGUCUCUCACUGUGAGGUGAUGCAUUUGGCUUUGACUUGAAUCAAGGUUUCUAUCUGCGAUGAAGUAGUUAGAGUAAAAGCAAUAUAAGGAUAGAUUAUAUCUGUUUAAUCUUAUGCCUUUUGACUAUGAUUUUAUUUUCAUCUACAGUUUGUGAUUGUCUCUUUAACUGGCUGGGGAUUACUCUUCUAUGGAGGUUACAAGUUCUUUACUGGAGACAAGAAAGACAAGAAGGAAGAGGUACUUCAUCACUACUUUAUGGGUUUAAAUACUUAAACUAAUUCCAGCCACCAUCAAACAUGUAUACCUUAGCCUCGUUCGCAACAUGAAAGAAUUGCAUUCACACCUCAAAAGCCUGAAUAUCAAUUAAUUGGGAUUAGCUACAUGAAUUGUUUUGUCAUUCCAUCCUUUAUGGGACUAUGUUUUUGUAAGACAUUUUUAAGUAGUCAAUUAUUUCUUGUAAAUUAAGAAAAAAAUUAUAUGAUUAAUCUAUAAUAAUUAUUGCAAUCCUUGUUUUGUUUUGCAGAAGGUUGGAGAAAAAUCACACUAGGUUUGGAAUACUACCCAAAUAUAUCUAGAAGUAAAUCUGGGAUGAGGAUGUUUUUCACAUGUUAAGACCCUCCAGUUUUGGACAGUUUUAUUUGUACAUGACUCCUAAGUGGAUGAUAAAUAUCGGCUUUUUCUUGUUGCUGUUUUGA
rnacentral:misc_RNA from 1 species